rnacentral:sRNA from 1 species
GAAUCCUCUUUGUUCCUUCUUCUUCUUU